AUGAUGGGAAUUUAAACCCCUUUCAGAGUAACAAUUGGAGGGCAAGUCUGGUGCCAGCAGCCGCGGUAAUUCCAGCUCCAAUAGCGUAUAUUAAAGUUGUUGCAGUUAAAAAGCUCGUAGUUGGAUGUCUGCUGGAAGCAAUCAGUCCGCCCUAUUUGUAGGGUGUGCACUUGAUGAAUUCUGGCAUUUUUGUCCCAAUGAUGUAACGGGGCGGUGGUAUUCGGUGAAAGCCGAGUAUCCUGUUUUCCGAUUAUUGGGAUACUGUUACUUUGAGAAAAUUAGAGUGUUUGAAGCAGGCUAAUUGCCUUGAAUACUGCAGCAUGGAAUAACAAUAUAGGAUUUCGGUUCUAUUUUGUUGGUUUCUAGGACUGAAAUAAUGAUUAAUAGGGACAGUUGGGGGCAUUCGUAUUUAACUGUCAGAGGUGAAAUUCUUAGAUUUGUUAAAGACGAACUACUGCG
rnacentral:rRNA from 1 species